UUCGCCCUUAGAGUUUGAUCCUGGCUCAGGACGAACGCUGGCGGCGCGCCUAACACAUGCAAGUCGAACGAGAGAUGAGGAGCUUGCUCUUCAAAUCGAGUGGCGAACGGGUGAGUAACGCGUGAGGAACCUGCCUCAAAGAGGGGGACAACAGUUGGAAACGACUGCUAAUACCGCAUAAGCCCACGGCUCGGCAUCGAGCAGAGGGAAAAGGAGCAAUCCGCUUUGAGGUGGCCUCGCGUCCGAUUAGCUAGUUGGUGAGGUAACGGCCCACCAAGGCGACGAUCGGUAGCCGGACUGAGAGGUUGAACGGCCACAUUGGGACUGAGACACGGCCCAGACUCCUACGGGAGGCAGCAGUGGGGAAUAUUGCACAAUGGGGGAAACCCUGAUGCAGCGACGCCGCGUGGAGGAAGAAGGUCUUCGGAUUGUAAACUCCUGUUGUUGAGGAAGAUAAUGACGGUACUCAACAAGGAAGUGACGGCUAACUACGUGCCAGCAGCCGCGGUAAAACGUAGGUCACAAGCGUUGUCCGGAACUACUGGGUGUAAAGGGAGCGCAGGCGGGAGAACAAGUUGGAAGUGAAAUCCAUGGGCUCAACCCAUGAACUGCUUUCAAAACUGUUUUUCUUGAGUAGUGCAGAGGUAGGCGGAAUUCCCGGUGUAGCGGUGGAAUGCGUAGAUAUCGGGAGGAACACCAGUGGCGAAGGCGGCCUACUGGGCACCAACUGACGCUGAGGCUCGAAAGUGUGGGUAGCAAACAGGAUUAGAUACCCUGGUAGUCCACACCGUAAACGAUGAUUACUAGGUGUUGGAGGAUUGACCCCUUCAGUGCCGCAGUUAACACAAUAAGUAAUCCACCUGGGGAGUACGACCGCAAGGUUGAAACUCAAAGGAAUUGACGGGGGCCCGCACAAGCAGUGGAGUAUGUGGUUUAAUUCGACGCAACGCGAAGAACCUUACCAAGUCUUGACAUCCCUUGACGAACAUAGAAAUAUGUUUUCUCUUCGGAGCAAGGAGACAGGUGGUGCAUGGUUGUCGUCAGCUCGUGUCGUGAGAUGUUGGGUUAAGUCCCGCAACGAGCGCAACCCUUAUGGUCAGUUACUACGCAAGAGGACUCUGGCCAGACUGCCGUUGACAAAACGGAGGAAGGUGGGGAUGACGUCAAAUCAUCAUGCCCUUUAUGACUUGGGCUACACACGUACUACAAUGGCGUUAAACAAAGAGAAGCAAGACCGCGAGGUGGAGCAAAACUCAGAAACAACGUCCCAGUUCGGACUGCAGGCUGCAACUCGCCUGCACGAAGUCGGAAUUGCUAGUAAUCGUGGAUCAGCAUGCCACGGUGAAUACGUUCCCGGGCCUUGCACACACCGCCCGUCA
rnacentral:rRNA from 1 species